AGCUCAGUUGGUUAGAGCACCGGAUUGUGGUUCCGGGUGUCGUGGGUUCGAGUCCCAUC
rnacentral:tRNA from 1 species